rnacentral:rRNA from 1 species
AACGAACGCUGGCGGCGCGCCUAAUACAUGCAAGUCGAGCGAGAAGACGUAGCAAUACGUUUGUAAAGCGGCGAACGGGUGAGGGAAUACAUGGGUAACCUACCCUCGAGUGGGGAAUAACUAGCCGAAAGGUUAGCUAAUACCGCGUACGCUCCUUGGACUUCGGUUCAGGGAGGAAAGCGAUACCGUGGGUAUCGCGCUCUUGGAUGGGCUCAUGUCCUAUCAGCUUGUUGGUGAGGAACGGCUCACCAAGGCUUCGACGGGUAGCUGGUCUGAGAGGACGAUCAGCCACACUGGCACUGCGACACGGGCCAGACUCCUACGGGAGCAGCAGUAAGGAUAUGCGCAAUGGGCGAAAGCCUGACGCAGCGACGCCGCGUGGGGGAUGAAGGUC